UACAGAGGGUGCAAGCGUUAAUCGGAAUUACUGGGCGUAAAGGGUGUGUAGGUGGCAAGAUAAGUUAGAUGUGAAAUCCUCGGGCUUAACCUGAGAAUUGCGUUUAAUACUGUCUGGCUAGAGUACUGCAGAGGGCAGUGGAAUUUCCAGUGUAGCGGUGAAAUGCGUAGAUAUUGGAAGGAACAUCAGUGGCGAAGGCGACUGCCUGGAUAGAUACUGACACUGAGACACGAAAGCGUGGGUAGCAAACAGG
rnacentral:rRNA from 1 species